ensembl:lncRNA
GACUGUGUAGUGUGUGGACUGUGUAAUGUGUGUAAUGUGUAGUGUGUGGACUGUGUAAUGUGUGGACUGUGUAGCGUGUGGACUGUGUAAGGUGUGGACUGUGUAGCGUGUGGACUGUGUAGUGUGUGGACUGUGUAGCGUGUGGACUGUGUAAGGUGUGGACUGUGUAGCGUGUGGACUGUGUAGUGUGUGGAUUGUGUAAUGUGUGGACUGUGUAAUGUGUGGACUGUGUAGCGUGUGGACUGUGUAGCGUGUGGACUGUGUAGCGUGUGGACUGUGUAGUGUGUGUGUGUGUGCGAGAGUGAGAGAGAGAGUAGUGCUGUAUGUGCGUGCAUGUGGCACAUUGUGUGCGUGUGCAAUCAUGGCAUAGGGGAUUAUGUGUGUGUGUGUGUGUGUGUGUGUGUGUGUGUGUGUGUGUGUGUGUUUGUGUGUGUAUUAUUAAGAUUGACAGAGGGCUGUGUAUUAGGAGUUGGGUGGCAGAUUUCUCUAGCCCGUUUUAGACACACUAAUCUGG